rfam:Morganella morganii subsp. morganii KT, complete genome.
GAAAGAACGACAUUGCUCACAUUGCUUCCAGUGUUUAUUUAGCCAGCCCAGUGCUGGCUUUUUUUU